rnacentral:rRNA from 1 species
ACGUUCGACACCUACGGGAGGCAGCAGUGGGGAAUAUUGCACAAUGGGGGAAACCCUGAUGCAGCGAUGCCGCGUGAAGGAAGAAGUAUCUCGGUAUGUAAACUUCUAUCAGCAGGGAAGAAAAUGACGGUACCUGACUAAGAAGCCCCGGCUAACUACGUGUCAGCAGCCGCGGUAAUCUGAGCGGCUGGCAAGGC